rnacentral:rRNA from 1 species
CAAUAGCGUAUAUUAAAGUUGUUGCAGUUAAAAAGCCCGUAGUUGAAUUUUUGCUUGCCGCCGAUGUCGGAACUUCCGUACGUUCGGCGGCGUGCAUCCUUGGGUGGAACCUGUGUGGCAUUAGGUUGUCGUGCAGGGGAUGCUCAUCGUUUACUGUGAAAAAAUUAGAGUGUUCAAAGCAGGCUUAUGCCGUUGAAUAUAUUAGCAUGGAAUAAUAAGAUAGGACCUUGGUACUAUUUUGUUGGUUUGCGCACCGAGGUAAUGAUUAACAGGGACAGUUGGGGGUAUUCGUAUUCCAUUGUCAGAGGUGAAAUUCUUGGAUUUCUGGAAGACGAACUACUGCGAAAGCAUUUACCAAGGAUGUUUUCAUUAA